ACAACUCACACAUCUCGCGAGAUGUUCCGCCCAAGCCGCGCGCGGAGGGAGAACAGGGAGGAACGUCCGAUCCAGCGCCCCGCCCUCUCUGCCGCGCCUGCGCAGAAGCACGUAGCGUGCUGGGGACUUGGUGCCGGUGCCGACGUAGUUCCCUAACUGGUCAGCUUUACGCAAGCUUGGUUUUAAGAAAGGCCAUGUCUGAAAGUGGCAUCUACAAAUCAGGAAGAGAGCCCUCCCCAAGAACUGACUGGGCCAGCACCUUGACCUUGACUUCUCAACCUUCAGAACUAUUCUUGUGUCUCCUGAAAUCCUUCCACAUGCACGUGAGCCGGGGGCCCGCAAGGACAGGUCUUCCCCACUGAAGGAAGAGUCGGCCCGU